AACGCACGAGACCUGCGGACCUGCGGAAGGAUCAUUACCGAGUUUACAACUCCCAAACCCAUGUGGACAUACCUGUCUUGUUGCUUCGGCGGCGCCCACGGCCCUCACGGGCUUGGGGCCCGCCAGAGGACCCAAACAAAACUCUUUGCAUUUUGAAUACAGUAUUCUGAGUGACAUGAUUAAAUAAAAUCAAAACUUUCAACAACGGAUCUCU
rnacentral:misc_RNA from 1 species